rnacentral:rRNA from 1 species
CAGCAGCCACGGUAAUCCGUAGGGUGCGAGCGUUAAUCGGAAUUACUGGGCGUAAGGCGUGCGCAGGCGGUUGUGUAAGACAGGUGUGAAAUCCCCGGGCUUAACCUGGGAACUGCGCUUGUGACUGCACAGCUAGAGUAUGGCAGAGGGGGGUGGAAUUCCACGUGUAGCAGUGAAAUGCGUAGAGAUGUGGAGGAACACCGAUGGCGAAGGCAGCCCCCUGGGCCAAUACUGACGCUCAUGCACGAAAGCGUGGGGAGCAAACAGGAUUAGAUACCCCCGUAGUCCCUGUCUCUUAUAC